AAAUCUCAGCUGGCAACUGUGAGUCGUUCACUAGCUGCUCUCACAAUGGCCUCUGGGAUUAUGCUAA
rnacentral:miRNA from 1 species